UACGUAGGUGGCAAGCGUUGUCCGGAUUUACUGGGCGUAAAGAGCGCGCAGGCGGUCGUACAAGUCGCGUGUGAAAGCCCCCGGCUCAACUGGGGAGGGUCACGCGAUACUGUUCGACUCGAAGGCAGGAGAGGGAAGCAGAAUUCCCGGUGUAGUGGUGAAAUGCGUAGAUAUCGGGAGGAAUACCGGUGGCGAAAGCGACUACCUGGCCUGUUUCUUGACGCUGAGGCGCGAAAGCUAGGGGAGCAAACGGG
rnacentral:rRNA from 1 species